UUCCUUUCUUCCUACUUCCAGUUGGCUACGCCAGUUUGAUUGCUUUGGCUUGGCUUCCCCAAUUUCACAUCUGUUAGUAGGUUUCUCCUUUAAUUUGUUGGCUUUCUAGGUUUCCGCUCUAAAUGAAGCAGUUCCUGGAAGUGCCAAGUCGGUCUUCAAAGCCUGGGAGCACCGCCUGAAUCUCUCAGCGGUAAGUAAGCUCACUUCAAUUCUUGUUUCU
rnacentral:lncRNA from 1 species